UGGGGAAUUUUGGGCAAUGGGCGCAAGCCUGAUCCAGCCAUGCCGCGUGCGGGAAGAAGGCCUUCGGGUUGUAAACCGCUUUUGUCAGGGAAGAAACGAGUUUCUCUAAUACAGAGACUUAAUGACGGUACCUGAAGAAUAAGCACCGGCUAACUACGUGCCAGCAGCCGCGGUAAUACGUAGGGUGCAAGCGUUAAUCGGAAUUACUGGGCGUAAAGCGUGCGCAGGCGGUUAUGCAAGACAGAUGUGAAAUCCCCGGGCUCAACCUGGGAACUGCAUUUGUGACUGCAUAGCUGGAGUGCGGCAGAGGGGGAUGGAAUUCCGCGUGUAGCAGUGAAAUGCGUAGAUAUGCGGAGGAACACCGAUGGCGAAGGCAAUCCCCUGGGCCUGCACUGACGCUCAUGCACGAAAGCGUGGGGAGCAAACA
rnacentral:rRNA from 1 species